AGAGAGAGAGUGUUUGAGAGAAAGAGAGUGUGUGUGUGUGUUGAGCGCGCGCGUGUGUGUCUCCUGCGCUUCACUCGGAUGGAGACGUGUGUGAACGCGCGUUUUCUCUCCGUCGAUGUGGAUCUGGUUUCUUCUGAUUCUCGCGGCGCGUGCAGGACUGAUCAGGAUUAAUAAUAAUAAUAAUAAUAAUAAUAAUAAUAAUAAUAAUAAUAAUAAUAAUAAUAGGUUAGACCGUUUAUCGGAGCUUCCGCAAAACAACUUUUCUUUGCGUUUCACUGUUUGUUUUUUCGCACCGCGUUCAUAUCCGCUGUGUUACUUUGGCGCGCGCACUAUGCUGCUCAGCGCUCCGGCGCUCACGUGGCUUUUUUCCGGUGCAUUCGGACCCAACCGGGGGAGGCGCGCGGCCGCUCGGUUAGUCCGUGUGCGCGCUUUUUGGGCACCUUAGAACAAAAAUGUAUUUUAUGUGUAUUCAUUUCUCCCUGCAAGCUUCUCCGUUCCGAUGAAGGACCGACUUGAGCAUUGAGACCUCACGACUUAAGACUUGAGAGACGCGCGCGCGUACCGCCGUCUCCAUCACGUCUGCACCCGAGCAAAGGGGACCGCCGGAGAAUAAACCGAGGAACCGGAGGGACACAAAGUGCACGAGACUGGAAGCGAGACGCUGCAGAGAUGGGUCUGUCGAACUGUGCCAAGAGAUUAGCAUGCCUCUUCUCUCUCCUUGCAUCCUUUCUCCUUCUUCUUUGCUCCGGGGAGAAAACAUGCCCCUACAGCUGCCGAUGCGAGGGUAAAAUCGUCCAUUGUGACUCAGCAUCUUUCAUCGACGUCCCAGAAAACAUUUCAGUAACUUGCCAGGGUUUGUCUCUACGGAACAAUGAGUUGCACACAAUGCUCCCUUACCAGUUUGCCCACUUGAACCAGCUCCUCUGGAUCUACCUGGACCACAAUCAGAUCUCAUUUGUAGACAGCCGUGCUUUCCAGGGCGUACGACGGCUAAAGGAGUUGGUUUUGAGCACCAACAGGAUCUCACAGCUACACAAUGCUACAUUCCACGGCGUGCCAAAUCUCCGCAGCCUGGACCUGUCCUAUAAUAAGCUCCAGGAAUUGCAGCCGGGUCAGUUCCAUGGCCUUCGAAAGCUACAAAAUCUGCAUCUACGCUCCAACGGGCUCACAACAAUUCCUGUUCGGGCUUUUAUAGAGUGUAGAAGCUUGGAGUUUUUGGAUCUGGGGUACAAUCGACUCCGUGUGCUCACACGUACCACAUUCUUGGGUUUAUCUCGGCUGAUGGAACUGCACCUGGAGCACAAUCAGUUCUCUCGUAUAAACUUCUUUCUUUUUCCACGCCUUGCAAACCUCCGUGGGCUGUAUCUCCAGUGGAAUCGUAUCCGAGCAGUGAACCAAGGCUUCCCCUGGAUGUGGAAUACCCUACAGAAGCUGGAUCUGUCUGGCAAUGAGAUUCAGAGUCUGGAUCCUGUGGUGUUCCAAUGCUUGCCAAAUCUUCAGGUUCUUAACUUGGAGUCUAACAAGCUUGCUAAUGUGUCCCAUGAGACGGUGGCAUCCUGGAUUUCCCUCGCAACAAUUAGCCUUGCUGGGAAUGUCUGGGAUUGUGGGCCAGGUAUCUGUCCUCUUGUCGCUUGGUUAAAGAAUUUCCGUGGAACUAAGGACACGAGUAUCAUUUGCAGCAGCCCUAAACAUCUUCAAGGGGAAAAGGUUAUGGAAGCAACAAAAAAUUAUAUAGAUUGUGAAGAUUUUGAACUCUUCCCCCAAACACCUUUUCCUCCCCACAAUUGGGAGUCAAGUAUGGAAACUACCCCUGAGCCAAUCUUGGCUUUGACAACGCCCGACCUACCCCUACCUCCCGCCACCUCUGAAGCACCCAUUCCACCGUUGGUGGUUCAACCUCUUCCUUACCCUACGAUCCCUGCAACUAACCACAGAGACACCCCUGCGGAUACACCACCACCUUCUGACAGUCUGCUAGUAACGCCAUCUCCAGAACAAGAGGACUUAUCCUUCCAUAAGUUUGUGGUUGGUGGUGUGGCACUUUUCUUUACAACGUCGCUCAUCUUAAUGGUUAUAUACGUGUCCUGUAGACGGUACCCUGGAGCCACAAGGCUGUUACAGCAGCGCUCUGUGGUCGGACGGAAGCGACGGAAAAAGAGUCCUGAGCCAGAACAGAACCUGAGCUCCCAACUGCAGGAAUAUUACAUGAGCUACAACCCUGCUGCUACACCAGAAGCCAUGGAUGUACUGGCCAACGGGACUGGUACUUGCACAUGUACCAUAUCCGGCUCCAGGGAAUGUGAGGUAUGACAAUGUCAAGGGCAGCCUAAAAUCAAAACAAAUCAAAGCAAAUGAAACGACUCUGGACGACAGAGAAUGAAUACGUGUGUCCCAGACCGCUCCCUCGAGCCUGGAUAGGAGACGUUCCCACCAUUCACUAAACGGACUUCUAUUCCUACUUCAUCGACUGUAACAGGGUUCCUGUAAAGAUUUUCCAUGGCAUCAUACAACGCCUUACACUUCGCCCGUUUCCUUUGGUUCGGAUCGUAGGAGCGCAUCGGAGUGGCGAACGAGCGAGUCGUCGUUUCCCAGAAUCCUUUUGUAUUAUAACGAUCGAGACAGAUUUUUGCAAUGACAAAAAAAAAAAAAUCUUUUAAUCGCCUGCCAUUUUUUUUAGGAGCUUCUCCACUAGAGCUUCGUGAAACCGACCCGUGAAGGACAGCGUGGACGCGGACGCGGACGUGGACGUUUUCGUCGGUGCCUUUUGUGCAUUUUGUUCUCGUCCAUUUUUUAUCCGGCGGGAAUAAACGAUCCGUAAACUAGCGAGCGGGAUGGAGGAUUUUCACUGGUACUCUUCUUCAUCUUCGUUGCCGUCAGAGUAAAAAAAAAAAAGAAAAGAAAAGAAGGGAUUUUAUUCAUCUUUUUUUUCCAGACUUUUUUCCGUGCUAUUUAACAAUCUUGUGAGGACUUUGUGAUGACCCUCGUAUGAGAUCGGUUGUCGGUUGAACACACAGCGGUCUUGUUUACAACCUCAGCAUGAAGACGGAGGGUCACGGACACUUUCACACUGACUGUGUGUGUGUGUGUGUGUGUGUGUGUGUGUGUGUGUGUGUGUGUGUG